GGCCUUGACAUACUAAGAACUUUCCAGAGAUGGAUUGGUGCCUUCGGGAACUUAGAUACAGGUGCUGCAUGGCUGUCGUCAGCUCGUGUCGUGAGAUGUUGGGUUAAGUCCGCAACGAGCGCAACCCUUUUCCUUAUUUGCCAGCGGGUAAUGCCGGGAACUUUAAGGAUACUGCCAGUGACAAACUGGAGGAAGGCGGGGACGACGUCAAGUCAUCAUGGCCCUUACGGCCAGGGCUACACACGUGCUACAAUGGUCGGUACAAAGGGUUGCUACCUCGCGAGAGGAUGCUAAUCUCAAAAAAGCCGAUCGUAGUCCGGAUCGCAGUCUGCAACUCGACUGCGUGAAGUCGGAAUCGCUAGUAAUCGCGGAUCAGAAUGCCGCGGUGAAUACGUUCCCGGGCCUUGUACACACCGCCCGCCACACCAUGGGAGUUUGUUGCACCAGAAGUAGGUAGUCUAACCGCAAGGAGGACGCUUACCACGGUGUGGCCGAUGACUGGGGUGAAGUCGUAACAAGGUAGGCGUAGAUGA
rnacentral:rRNA from 1 species